AAAAUGGGUGAAAGGAAAUCACACAUUUUAGAUGGGUGAUGCAAACGCUUGACCAGCCAGGAACAUCAACUGAAAUGGACCCGGCAACAGAUCCAGGAUUUGUAAACAGACAGAGAGAACUGGUUCCAGCGUAAGCUCGUGUGAAUGCCUGACGAUCCAUGCAUUUGACGGGAGAGUAGUGACCAGAGUCAGCGUUGGUACACAGACUGACAGGAGACAUCAGGGAGAGCAUGGUCAAGGUACAGUUGCUGUUGUUUUUUUUAUUCAAAAAAUAAAUCUGAUCAUCUCUUUAACAUGAAUUACUGUCUUUUUCAUAAUCUUUGUUUUCUAUUUUCUUAACAGCAGAAGCUCCUCACAGGAAGUUAUGGUUAGCAUCUGAGCAGAGCGUUCCUAAAAACAUGAAGUCUGACUUGGAGAUAUCCCCAGAUAAUGAAGUGUUGAAUUCACUCAGCAAGGAAACUCCUCAAACUCCCACAGCCUGCCAAGGAGAAACUGAGCAGUCUUUAACUAAUCUGGACAAGGUUUCAACCUCAAGCAGAUCACGCUCUUCACAGAGUUUGCUCCAGACUGUGUUGAACAUUUGCUGUGAGCACUGCCAGAAGCGGAAGAAACCCCCAGUGGCCAGAGAUCAGAUAGCCAACAUGGCUGACCCAGAAGAGUUUUUCUGCUGUAAGAAGGCGUGGAAGUUAUCAGAGAUGUUGCCAAAGGGUGCAGUGGUUAUCACUAAAGAAACCAUAUCUGAUAGGGGCUUGGCGAAGCAGAAAGGUCAAAGGUUGAAAGGUUUGGAAGCUAAAAGGAGCUUGUAUCGUCAGACUCCUAAAGCAGGGCAACAUGCAUCUGCCACUCUACACAGUCUGCUCUCAGAAGAUCCUUGGACUGUCAGAAAUGAAGCUUCCUUCCCUGAAAUAGAAAUCAUAGAUUCUGGAAAUAUGUUCUCUUUCAGCAGUGAAGUGAAGGGGGAGACACCACUUGUCAAAAACUAUGAUAGUGGUCAAACAUUUAUUGUGAUUUUUCCAGAUGGAACUGGGCAGAUGUAG
rnacentral:lncRNA from 1 species